UUUUUUUAAUUUUAUUUUAACUUCUCUCGAUACAGUGAUAUGUGGUCGGAUCCGGGCCCGUGGUCGAGACUCCAACUAAUAUCAUACGCUACUGUGCUGAAGCAAACACUUGAAUAGAUAGUAGAGAACAAGAGAUACGGCGAUUGACAAAUAAUCUUAUCCUUUCCUCAUCUUGCAUCUAUGAAAACCAAAACCAAACAUACCUACGGCUACGGAAAGACGGAGGAUUCCAGCUUCAAUUGGAACUGGAAAGUAAACGACUACAAUAACAAGAACCGUGGAAAGCAAUCCCCGGUAACUGAAUUCCUCCAAGACAACUACCGUAAGCUGGAGGAAACAGUGUUAGGUCCUGGAGGUGGCUUAGGGAUUGGAUGCGGCAUUGGGGUGGGUUUCGGUUUGGUUGGUGGUAUCGGUUAUGGUGGCUGGCCGUGGAACCAUCUUAAGCUAGUAUUUGGGGUCGGCAUGGGCUGUGGUGUGGGAUUCGGGUUCGGAUAUGGGUGUGGGCUGGGCUAUGGUCGUAGCUUGGAUUCGUUGCAGUCUCAAAUGGAUAAGAGGAAGUCAGCUUCUGGCAACAAGGCAAUUUGGUGAGGAUAUCAGUAGCCUUACUCUUUUAAGAAGUAUUCUUUCGAGGAAAAACACCAAACGUUUAGGUUACUGCAAAAGAGGUGCCAUAGGUUGCAUGGGCGAAGGAAAGUAGCUCAACCUGUGAUUAAAAUUAUUGAACAUCAUUCUCCCAACUUCAGGGUGCUGGUCCCAAGCGCAUAGGUCCAUUCAGUUGAGGAGAUUAUCAUUACUCUGUGCAGCCUCAGAUAGUAAGAUUCAAUGAAAUUUUUGGUGUCAGUCAACAAUGUUAGCGGCCAGCUCCCCAAAAAUAUGGGUUGGAUGGAAGCAUCCAAGGAUAACCCUUAUGAACACAUCUUUGAAGUGGUUGGGCACUUGAUUAUCUAUUUGCUUCGUAUCAGGAAUAGAUUGUGCCCAGUUGAAUGUAGAUUGCUAUUGUUCCUUUGCUUGUAGUCCUCCACAUUAUCACCAAUGUUUUGAGUUUUUUGAAACGAUUCCACGCCAUUUUGACUUGGAUAUGUUUGCAUCACAAUUUGUGUUUCUUUCAUCAUGGUUAUGCAAUUUAGAGUCUGGUUUGCCAACAA